rnacentral:ribozyme from 14 species
AAAGAGGGCAAAGAAGAGGAAGAUGAAAAUCUUGUCAUAUUGAUGUGUGUUGUGUGUGUGUGCGUUUUUUCCCUCCCCUUUUCUUUUCUUUUUUUUAUUUGCUU